GACGAACGCUGGCGGCGUGCCUAAUACAUGCAAGUCGAGCGAGCUUGCCUAGAUGAAUUUGGUGCUUGCACCAGAUGAAACUAGAUACAAGCGAGCGGCGUACGGGUGAGUAACACGUGGGUAACCUGCCCAAGAGACUGGGAUAACACCUGGAAACAGAUGCUAAUACCGGAUAACAACACUAGACGCAUGUCUAGAGUUUAAAAGAUGGUUCUGCUAUCACUCUUGGAUGGACCUGCGGUGCAUUAGCUAGUUGGUAAGGCAACGGCUUACCAAGGCAAUGAUGCAUAGCCGAGUUGAGAGACUGAUCGGCCACAUUGGGACUGAGACACGGCCCAAACUCCUACGGGAGGCAGCAGUAGGGAAUCUUCCACAAUGGACGCAAGUCUGAUGGAGCAACGCCGCGUGAGUGAAGAAGGGUUUCGGCUCGUAAAGCUCUGUUGGUAGUGAAGAAAGAUAGAGGUAGUAACUGGCCUUUAUUUGACGGUAAUUACUUAGAAAGUCACGGCUAACUACGUG
rnacentral:rRNA from 1 species